UCCUCCGUUCCAGAGGAGGCCUUAGUCCGAUCCAGCUACAGAAGACCAAACUGGGCCAGGACAGAUUGGGAGCUCAAAAAUUCUAGGCAAAGGCAGAGCCCAACGUGAAACAUUAUUUAUUUUUUUUCGCAAAAAAUAAACGAACAGUCUAAGGCCUUAGUGCCAACCUCUACUAGUUGGGCCUGGCAUACCUUUUGGGCUCGAAGUAAACCAGCCUUUUUCUCGGUCCAGCCUGACCGCUCGACCCGCAAAAUACGCCACGUAAGAUGAAUUGUCCCUCGGAAUUUCUAUAUAGGCAAAACAUGGAUGGCCGUUUCAGGUGGCUUGUGUUAUUGGGGCAGCCGUUCUGUGAGUGCGAAGUCAGACGACAGCGUUGACUGCUUUGGGAUCAUCAGCUCGUCUACCACCUUGGUGAUCAUCUUGCCCCGGAAAUAUGGCUGACACAUUCAGAACACAGUAUUUAUACGUCAAUUCCGACGUCUUUUUUUUUGAUAAUAAUGAAUUCCGACGUCUUCAGUUGUCCUGUACAAAACCCUUGCGUGAUCCUAAUUCCACCUGUAUUGAAUUACUAAUCCAAUAUGGAGUUUUAUUUCUUCUGACUCUUAUUCUUGAAAUUUUGCUCAACUAUUUGUACCUCUAGACAAUUUCAUACAAAAAAAUUCAACUAAAAAAAUUAUAGAUCUCGUUAAAACCUACUCCCCCGUCCUAAAAUACUAUCCGCUUUGGCCUUUCUCGAUAUAUAACUUUUGAUAUGUAUCUAGACAUAGUAUGCAUCUCAUCUGCUAAAACGAAUUGUAACUUGGGACGGAUGGAGGGAGUAUUCUAUUAUCUCAUCUUACAAAAUUUGUUUAAAAAAUAUCCCCAGAGGGUAUAUACGGGUACACACCGUACGAGUGAGUUCUUUAACAAAAGAUUGGAAUAACCCCCAUCAUCAUCUCAAAGUGCGUAGAGCAACAAAGGAAAAGACACCCAGCUGAUUCGUAGACGGAUCACAUGCAUCUGCCAGGAUAUACGCGCCUUUCCAAAGGAUCUCUACAUCUCCAUCAAGAC
rnacentral:lncRNA from 1 species